rnacentral:rRNA from 1 species
UACGUAGGGGGCAAGCGUUGUUCGGAUUUACUGGGCGUAAAGGGCGCGUAGGCGGCCACCGCAAGUCGACUGUGAAAUCUCCGGGCUUAACCCGGAAAGGUCAGCCGAUACUGCGGGGCUAGAGUGCAGAAGGGGCAACUGGAAUUCUCGGUGUAGCGGUGAAAUGCGUAGAUAUCGAGAGGAACACCUGCGGCGAAGGCGGGUUGCUGGGCUGACACUGACGCUGAGGCGCGAAAGCUAGGGGAGCGAACGGG